rnacentral:rRNA from 1 species
AUGGGACCAAGCGAUCCAUUUGUAACCAUGCUUCAAGAUGUCAAUAGCCAGCUGAACAUCGUGACACAACAUGUGGGUGCAAUGACAACAUCGUUCACAGUAGCAAUGGCGCGAAAAGCAGCACAAGAAGACCCUCAACAGAAAUCAAGAGAAAAGGCAAUUAGUGAAUUGUCUAGGCUUGCAUUUACUGGGAGCGAGACGUUGAAGCUGUAA